AUUGAGCGCUGGCGGCAGGCCUAACACAUGCAAGUCGAACGGUAACAGAAGGCAGCUUGCUGCUUUGCUGACGAGUGGCGGACGGGUGAGUAAUGUCUGGGAAACUGCCUGAUGGAGGGGGAUAACUACUGGAAACGGUAGCUAAUACCGCAUAACGUCGCAAGACCAAAGAGGGGGACCUUCGGGCCUCUUGCCAUCGGAUGUGCCCAGAUGGGAUUAGCUAGUAGGUGGGGUAACGGCUCACCUAGGCGACGAUCCCUAGCUGGUCUGAGAGGAUGACCAGCCACACUGGAACUGAGACACGGUCCAGACUCCUACGGGAGGCAGCAGUGGGGAAUAUUGCACAAUGGGCGCAAGCCUGAUGCAGCCAUGCCGCGUGUAUGAAGAAGGCCUUCGGGUUGUAAAGUACUUUCAGCGGGGAGGAAGGGAGUAAAGUUAAUACCUUUGCUCAUUGACGUUACCCGCAGAAGAAGCACCGGCUAACUCCGUG
rnacentral:rRNA from 1 species